rnacentral:rRNA from 1 species
UGGAACAAUGUAGGCAAGGGAAGUUGGCAAAAUGGAUCCGUAACUUCGGGAUAAGGAUUGACUCUGAGGGCUGGUGAUCGCUGCCAACUCCGCACCACUAAAAAGUAGCGAGAGGGUCGCAAUAGCUUUUACCCGAUUUGUGGGUCGGGAUCGAAUCCACAGAGAGCUAGGAUUGGAAUCGAGUAUCUAUUUAGCUUAGGAUUCCGUAUGUGCUCUUAAUUGGUCUUCUAUUCAUUUUUGAUUUUUCUUUAUAUUCUA